GGGAAUAUUGCACAAUGGGCGCAAGCCUGAUGCAGCCAUGCCGCGUGUAUGAAGAAGGCCUUCGGGUUGUAAAGUACUUUCAGCGGGGAGGAAGGCGAUAAGGUUAAUAACCUUGUCGAUUGACGUUAACCGCAGAAGAAGCACCGGCUAACUCCGUGCCAGCAGCCGCGGUAAUACGGAGGGUGCAAGCGUUAAUCGGAAUUACUGGGCGUAAAGCGCACGCAGGCGGUCUGUCAAGUCGGAUGUGAAAUCCCCGGGCUCAACCUGGGAACUGCAUUCGAAACUGGCAGGCUAGAGUCUCGUAGAGGGGGGUAGAAUUCCAGGUGUAGCGGUGAAAUGCGUAGAGAUCUGGAGGAAUACCGGUGGCGAAGGCGGCCCCCUGGACGAAGACUGACGCUCAGGUGCGAAAGCGUGGGGAGC
rnacentral:rRNA from 1 species